CGCAGCCUGAUGCAGCACGCCGCGUGCGGGAAGACGGCCCUAGGGUUGUAAACCAGCUUUCAGAAGGGAAGAAAAUGACGGUACCUACAGAAGAAGGUGCGGCCAACUACGUGCCAGCAGCCGCGGUGACACGUAGGCACCAAGCGUUAUCCGGAUUUAUUGGGCGUAAAGAGCUCGUAGGCGGUUUGGUAAGUCGGGUGUGAAAAUCUCAGGGCUUCAACCCUGAGACGCCACCCGAUACUGCGCUAUGUACUAUGAGUACGAGUAGGGGAGCGGGGAACUCCUAGGUGGUAACGUUGAAAUGCGCAAAUUUCAGGAAGAACACCGGUGGCGAAGGCGCCGCUCUGGGCCGUAACUGACGCUGAGGACCGAAAAGCGUGGGUAGCAAACAGGAUUAGAUACCCUGGUAGUCCACGCCGUAAACGUUGGGCACUAGGUGUGGGUCUCAACCAACGAGAUCCAGCGCCGCUCAACUAACGUCAUUAAGUGCCCCGCCUGGGGAGUACGGUCGCAAGACUACAUACACUCAGAAUGAAAUUGACGGA
rnacentral:rRNA from 1 species